rnacentral:lncRNA from 1 species
AGGGGGUGUGCUACAAGAUCUUGAAAACUUGGUCCUACAAAAAGAGAUAUUAUGGUUGUAUAUCGGCGUGUUUGGACCAGACAAAUUAAUUGGUUACGGAUCAAAGAUCCUAAAUUUAUUGGUUAAAAACAUAAAACAGAAGGCUCCAUAUAUAAUUGAAUAAACAUUGACUCGGUUCUACAUAAGAUAUUAUUCCAAUUAAAGUAUCCAACAUUGAAGAAAGACUAUGACCAGCUUUAGGGUUUUAUGCUUUAAAAGUUGUUCCAAAGCUAUAUGCAGAGAGUAUAUAUGAGGUCAUAAUGUCAUCCACCCACAUACAAAGAUAUGAGAAGGCGUAUGGCGAGGCAACGUGAGAGUGUGCAUGAACUACUCCAUCCACGUGUAGAACGUGAGUUGCGACUAACUUGCAUGAGGUUGGCUCACGUGUGGGCCAUCACGUGCCACGUUGUAC